rnacentral:rRNA from 1 species
CCUACGGGGUGCAGCAGUGAGGAAUAUUGGUCAAUGGACGCAAGUCUGAACCAGCCAUGCCGCGUGCAGGAAGACGGCUCUAUGAGUUGUAAACUGCGUUUGUACGAGGGUAAACGCAGAUACGCGUAUCUGUCUGAAAGUAACGUACGAAUAAGGAUCGGCUAACUCCGUGCCAGCAGCCGCGGUAAUACGGAGGAUUCAAGCGUUAUCCGGAUUUAUUGGGUUUAAAGGGUGCGUAGGCGUUCGGAUAAGUUAGAGGUGACAUCCCGAGGCUCAACUUCGGAAUUGCCUCUGAUACUGUUCGGCUAGAGUGUAGUUGCGGUCGGCGGCAUGUCUGGUGUAGCGGUGAAAUGCUU